UGGGGAAUUGUUCACAAUGGGCGCAAGCCUGAUGACGCAACGCCGCGUGGGGGAUGAAGGUCUUCGGAUCGUAAACCCCUGUCGAAUGGGACGAAAGACUCGCGUCUUAACACUGCGCGAGAUUGACGGUACCGUUAAAGGAAGCCACGGCUAACUCUGUGCCAGCAGCCGCGGUAAUACAGAGGUGGCAAGCGUUGUUCGGAAUUACUGGGCGUAAAGGGCGCGUAGGCGGCCUUUCAAGUCAGACGUGAAAUCCCCCGGCUUAACCUGGGAACCGCGUCUGAUACUGGGAGGCUUGAGUAUGGGAGAGGGAUGUAGAAUUCCAGGUGUAGCGGUGAAAUGCGUAGAUAUCUGGAGGAAUACCGGUGGCGAAGGCGGCAUCCUGGACCAUAACUGACGCUGAGGCGCGAAAGCUAGGGGAGCAAA
rnacentral:rRNA from 1 species